AUUGAACGCUAGCGGGAUGCUUUACACAUGCAAGUCGAACGGCAGCGCGGACUUCGGUCUGGCGGCGAGUGGCGAACGGGUGGGUAAUGUAUCGGAACGUGCCCAGUAGCGGGGGGUAACUAAGCGGAAACGUAGCUAAUAACGCAUAAGCCCUACGGGGGAAAGGAGGGGAUCGUAAGACCUUGCACUAUUGGAGCGGACGAUAUCGGAUUAGGUAGUUGGUGAGGUAACGGCUCACCAAGGCGACGAUCCGUAGCUGGUUUGAGAGGACGACCAGCCACACUGGGACUGAGACACGGCCCAGACUCCUACGGGAGGCAGCAGUGGGGAAUUUUGGACAAAGGGGGCAACCCUGAUCCAGCCAUCCCGCGUGUGCGAUGAAGGCCUUCGGGUUGUAAAGCACUUUUGGCAGGAAAGAAACGUCGCGGGCUAAUACCCCGUGGAACUGACGGUACCUGCAGAAUAAGCACCGGCUAACUACGUG
rnacentral:rRNA from 1 species